CCUACGGGAGGCAGCAGUGGGGAAUAUUGCACAAUGGGGGAAACCCUGAUGCAGCGACGCCGCGUGAGCGAUGAAGUAUUUCGGUAUGUAAAGCUCUAUCAGCAGGGAAGAAGAUGACGGUACCUGACUAAGAAGCCCCGGCUAACUACGUGCCAGCAGCCGCGGUAAUACGUAGGGGGCAAGCGUUAUCCGGAUUUACUGGGUGUAAAGGGAGCGUAGAUGGCGGUGCAAGACAGAUGGGAAAGCUCGGGGCUCAACCCCGGGACGGCAUUUGGAACUGUAUGGCUGGAGUGUCUGAGAGGCAGGCAGAAUUCCUAGUGUAGCGGUGAAAUGCGUAGAUAUUAGGAGGAACACCGGUGGCGAAGGCGGCCUGCUGGACGAUGACUGACGUUGAGGCUCGAAAGCGUGGGGAGCAAACAGGAUUAGAUACCCGUGUAGUC
rnacentral:rRNA from 1 species